AUUGAACGCUGGCGGCAGGCCUAACACAUGCAAGUCGAACGAGCGGCGGACGGGUGAGUAAUGUCUGGGACCCUGCCCGAUGGAGGGGGAUAACUACUGGAAACGGUAGCUAAUACCGCAUACCAUCGGAUGUACCCAUAUGGGAUUAGCUUGUAGGUGAGGUAACGGCUCACCUAGGCGACGAUCCCUAGCUGGUCUGAGAGGAUGCACAGCCACACUGGGACUGAGACACGGGCCAGACUCCUACGGGAGGCAGCAGUGGGGAAUAUUGCACAAUGGGCGCAAGCCUGAUGCAGCCAUGCCGCGUGUAUGAAGAAGGCCUUCGGGUUGUAAAGUACUUUCAGCGGGGAGGCGUUACCCGCAGAAGAAGCACCGGCUAACUCCGUGCCAGCAGCCGCGGUAAUAC
rnacentral:rRNA from 1 species